CGGACGGGUGAGUAACACGUGGAUAACCUACCUAUAAGACUGGGAUAACUUCGGGAAACCGGAGCUAAUACCGGAUAAUAUUUUGAACCGCAUGGUUCAAAAGUGAAAGACGGUCUUGCUGUCACUUAUAGAUGGAUCCGCGCUGCAUUAGCUAGUUGGUAAGGUAACGGCUUACCAAGGCAACGAUACAUAGCCGACCUGAGAGGGUGAUCGGCCACACUGGAACUGAGACACGGUCCAGACUCCUACGGGAGGCAGCAGAU
rnacentral:rRNA from 1 species